GUGGGGAAUAUUGGACAAUGGGCGCAAGCCUGAUCCAGCAAUGCCGCGUGGGUGAAGAAGGUCUUCGGAUCGUAAAGCCCUUUCGACAGGGACGAUGAUGACGGUACCUGUAGAAGAAGCCCCGGCUAACUUAGUGCCAGCAGCCGCGGUAAUACGAAGGGGGCUAGCGUUACUCGGAAUUACUGGGCGUAAAGGGCGCGUAGGCGGCUCUGUUAGUCAGGCGUGAAAUUCCUGGGCUUAACCUGGGGACUGCGCUUGAUACUGCAGGGCUUGAGGCCGAGAGAGGGUGGUGGAAUUCCCAGUGUAGAUGUGAAAUUCGUAGAUAUUGGGAAGAACACCGGUGGCGAAGGCGACCACCUGGCUCGGUUCUGACGCUGAGGCGCGACAGCGUGGGGAGCAAACAGGAUUAGAUACCCGUGUAGUCC
rnacentral:rRNA from 1 species